GCUGUUCAAUUUCCCCGUCGGACAUCCUGCAACCGCCGAUCUCGCGAUUGUUAGUUUCCCUUUUUCCCGAGAAGGUAUCGGGUGCACCGGUGCUUGUGGUGCUACCGGUGCACCAAACUGGCUCCUAAGGCGUUAGACUGCGGCCAGAGCUAGUGCCCUCACAAACUAUGGCUGGGUCGAUGUUGCCAGUCGUAUUUUCGCUCCUUCGAGGUUUGAACUUUCACCAAACAUCAUCUUGCUUCUGGUGUGCCAUCACGUACAGAGAGGAAAUCAUCUAAGUCCAAGUCUUGUCUUCAGCACGUUUACUGACUCAACCAAGGAGAUCAGAGAGAUAUAAACAUCCAUUAUCAACAAUAUGCAAUUGUCAAUUACAUUGGUGCAGCUAUGGAACGAGUGGGAAAUCAGGUUGCUUGUGCUUCUCAGUUUUACACUGCAACUAUUCCUCUUCUUCACAGGGGGGCGUAGGAGACGAAGCAGUAACAAAUUGCUAAGAUUCUCUAUUUGGUUGGCUUACUUGGGGGCAGACAUGAUUGCAUUUUAUACUCUUGGUCAGAUCUCUCGACUUGGAGAUUCUAUCAAUAGUAGGGAUCCGUUUACAGGGACCAUGUCUUUGGCAUUCUUUUGGGCACCUUUCCUUCUUGUUCAUCUUGGCGGACAAGACACUAUUACUGCCUUUUCAUCUGAGGAUAACAAUUUGUGGCUAAGGCAUUUUCUGAAUCUUUUAGUUGAAGUCAGCCUUGCAUUAUAUGUCUUUUGGAAAUCAAUGGGGAACAACAACCAGCUUUUAGUUCCAGCCAUGUUUGUCUUUGUUUCUGGAAUAAUUAAGUACUGGGAGAGGAUAUGGGCUCUCAAGUAUGGGAGUAAGACUGACCUUAAUAGCACCACUAGUAACUAUGAAAAUAAUCAAUUGCCACUACUAAGUGUUGAGCAAGAUAGAUACUGUGACAUUGUUUGCUAUGCUCUCCGCACGGCACGCUAUAUUCGGGGAUUCCUUGCAGGGCGGCCGACCUUUCAGAUGGGGCAUGAAAUUCGGUUUACAUUAGUAGAAUAUUUUGGAAGAUUUACAGAGCAUGGGGCAAAACUUAAGAUCAUUGAGAUGGAGCUCGCUAUUAUAUAUGAUG